rnacentral:rRNA from 1 species
CCUACGAGUGGCAGCAGUGGGGAAUAUUGCACAAUGGGGGAAACCCUGAUGCAGCGACGCCGCGUGAGUGAAGAAGUAUUUCGGUAUGUAAAGCUCUAUCAGCAGGAACGAGACAAGACGGUACCUGACUAAGAAGCCCCGGCUAACUACGUGCCAGCAGCCGCGGUAAUACGUAGGGGGCAAGCGUUAUCCGGAAUCACUGGGUGUAAAGGGAGCGUAGACGGCUGUGCAAGCCUGAAGUGAAAGGCGGGGGCCCAACCCCUGGACUGCUUUGGGAACUGUACGGCUGGAGUGCAGGAGAGGUAAGUGGAAUUCCUAGUGUAGCGGUGAAAUGCGUAGAUAUUAGGAGGAACACCGGUGGCGAAGGCGGCCUGCUGGACUGCAACUGACGUUGAGGCCCGAAAGCGUGGGGAGCAAACAGGAUUAGAUACCCGAGUAGUC